UACGUAGGGUGCAAGCGUUAAUCGGAAUUACUGGGCGUAAAGCGUGCGCAGGCGGCUUUGCAAGACAGAUGUGAAAUCCCUCGGCUUAACCGGGGAACUGCGUCUGAUACUGGAUGGCUAGAGAUUGGGAGAGGGAUGCGGAAUUCCAGGUGUAGCGGUGAAAUGCGUAGAUAUCUGGAGGAACACCGGUGGCGAAGGCGGCAUCCUGGACCAACACUGACGCUGAGGAGCGAAAGCCAGGGGAGCAAACGGG
rnacentral:rRNA from 1 species